GAUGAACGCUGGCGGCGUGCUUAACACAUGCAAGUCGAGCGAAGCAACUUUGAAACUUCGGUUUCAAAGUUGACUUAGUGGCGGACGGGUGAGUAACGCGUAGGUAACCUACCUUAUACAGGGGGAUAACAGCUGGAAACGGCUGCUAAUACCGCAUAACACAGAGUGUUCGCAUGAAUGUUCUGCCAAAGAUUUAUCGGUAUAAGAUGGACCUGCGUCUGAUUAGCUAGUUGGUGAGGUAAUGGCUCACCAAGGCGACGAUCAGUAGCCGACGUGAGAGAGUGAUCGGCCACAUUGGGACUGAGACACGGCCCAAACUCCUACGGGAGGCAGCAGUGGGGAAUAUUGCACAAUGGGGGAAACCCUGAUGCAGCGACGCCGCGUGAGUGAAGAAGUAUUUCGGUAUGUAAAGCUCUAUCAGCAGGGACGAAUAAAAUGACGGUACCUGACUAAGAAGCCCCGGCUAACUACGUGCCAGCCGCCGCCGUAA
rnacentral:rRNA from 1 species